AAAAAACUCUCGGUACAUCGUGGUAGCUGCGUCAAUGUGAGGCAGUUUACGGUAAAACGGUGACCAUUACCAUGUGAUUUCACCGAUGUUUGUAAACAUGCGUCAGCCACAUGUGAUUCAGGCGAUCAGGAAAGACUCUCCAGCCGAUCGUCCAAUCAGCGAUCGGGGGAGUGUCGGGGGCGGGGCUCUCGUGUUGCGCUAUGGAAAAUCGUUAGGGGGAUACACUGUGAUAAACGCACGCUCCGAGAUUGAUAAUAGCGACAAUAAGGCUGAAACGGGAAUCUGGCGGACCGACCAUUCAGCGACCACCGGAUCCGAGUGGCGCCAGCCAGGAAAUGAAUGACACUACUUUGGUGGCACGGGAAGGAAAACAGCCCUGGUACAAACACUAAACCCCACGUGGACCUGGAGCCAGACUGGAUGCCUGAGGCCAGCCCAGGAGAGGACACAGUAUCCUAUUGUGCCUUACAAAGAAGUCUACCGGGAGUCGCGCAGAUCUAUUUUUCCGCAUUAUGAUUCAUGGAGGUUUUUUUUGUUAGGGUUCAUCUCUGAUGCCAGCCUGCUACUGUGCCCCAUCUGAUGCACUUCAGACGGAAGGAACUGAGCGUCUAUGUCAUUCUCAAAUGUGCUGUCAAUGGCUGGUUGUCCUCAGUACCAGCAAAGAGUCGCGCUCUUCCUGACGUUCCAGUUACUUUUGGUCAGAAGUUAGAAUCUUCUGUCAUCAGAUUAAAUGCAUGCCAUUUUAAGGAAAGAAUAUUUGCAUUUAUGCAGUCAGUAUCAUAAAUAACUAAGUUAAAAUGAUGGCUAUCGAGCAGUUUUUUGUGCUAUUUCAGCAGCACACCUAAAUUCAAAGAAUGUGUUUCCAAUGAGCCACAGAGGUUUACUUGGACCGCAGCACUUUUAUUGUUAAUGCAUGAAAUCUUUGAUUUAUUUUCUGAAAUGCCAUGAAAGGAACAGAUCUCAAAUAGCUAGAAACGAGUUUCCUCUGUAAUGCAGCCAAAACAAAACCCAGUAGGUUGCUGUAACUGCAAAUUACAUUUUGUCUGUCCUCUAGACUGACCUAGAGUUCAUUAAGAUGAUGCAUUCAAGUAAGCAAAGUGCAUCUUUGCGUAAAAAAAAAAAAAAAAAAAAAGUACCUCAGUCAUUUACAAACCACUGCAGUGAUUGCAUUAAGCUGUUUGGCAAGACAGAAUGAAAAGAGCGUCAACUUAAUGGAAAACUCAAUUAUGAUUAAAUGAAAAUGAGUUCAACCUGUUGAUUCAUUUCAUUGUCAUCUGCUACUGAAACAGUGAAUGUAGCAGAAUCUUGAGUUGGGUCUUCAGAAAUGAUAAUAAAAACUGUUCUAAAAGUGAUAUGAUUUUUUUUUGUCUUGCAGAUUUGGACAUGGCUUCAGACGAUGGGUUUUCUCAAAGGCAUCCUCCCCAGGGAACUGGUUUCAGAUGGUGUCUUAGAGUAUAAAAUCCCAUCUAGCACCAUUUGAAAUCGGUGUUCUUGAGCGGGAACAGACUUCAGGAAUGACGUCAGCGUACGGCCUCGUCCAGUAGGUCGACAGAAAGUCUGUCAUUAGCAAUUAGGUGGCUCUGCUGGCAUCAGUAAUUUAAAAUUUGAGUCAGUUCCAAACAGCUUAUAUUACCCUGAUCAUGAGUUGGGGUCCAGCCUUCUGACCUCUUAACCCCCUCUCAUCAAGGCUGACCGUUUUCGUCUGGUGUUCAGAGUUUCCAUCACGUCUAGCACCAUUUGAAAUCGGUUACAAUGUGGAGGGACUAUCGACUGGCAGCUUUGAGAUGAAAUUCUCUAAAGCAACACAAGAUGGCAGCAUUGAACCACCAUCCAACCACCAUCUAUUGUCCAAGUCUGAAGAGUUCAAAAGGAUCAUUGAAGCAGAGGCAGAUGUACUAAAUUACCAUGUUCAGAUGCAAGACCAGCAAAACAAAGCACACCUUUAUGCAUAUUGAAUCAUUUCAUUAACUUCUUUUAAUUGUCUAGGUAAAUUAGAAUUAAAAAUGUUAAAUUAUGCUUUAAUUAACAUUGUCAAAAGCAAUUUCUGCCUUUCACUGCCUUUAUAUUCUUCAUCUGUCGCUACAUCACCUCGUUUUGUUUUCGAGGAAGAGAUUCAGAAGUUUAUCAGAAGUUAAUGUUGGUACAGAGUACCAUUUCUGAUUAUAGCCUGCCAUUCCACCAAACCCCAGAGCGGAGGCAGUUGUGUUCAACAUUUGAACUUUAAAUGAAAUGUAAUUAUAGCAUGCAAUCUUUUAAUACAUGGCUGCCUGACGUUCUCAUGCUCCAUCACCUGGGGCGAAUAAUGGCCAAUAUUAGCCUAAAGCAUCAAGCCUGUAAAUGUCAACCUUUUUUACCCUCCAGAGAUCACCCUGCUGACAUAUGCAUUAAUACAGUUGUCUUUUUGAAUAAAUUAUUAAAAAUGUCUUAAUUAAAAUUUAUGAAUGAUUAACCCGAGCUGUCGAGGUUAACAACGUUGACGGUCUUGGAUUAGCAGUGUGGUCUUAGAAGGUUAGGAGCAGAUGUUUCUCUCAUGGCUGCUGUGACCAAUGUGUCUGUUUUUCAGUCUUCCCUUAACAUCUGCUGAGGUCAAAGGAAAUCUCUGAACUUCAAUUUCCACAGAUACGAGUCACUCUUGCUACACUAACACACUAACACUACAAGUGAAACAGGCAUGGCAUGCAGUUUAAGAUUGAGCAGCUCAUUUAUAUCCAGAAAUUAAAUAAUUUAGCCCUAACAUGGAUUUUUUUUCUUUCUAAAUGUUUGUGUAUUGUGUUAUGUAACCUUGCAUUAUGUGACACAUCACUGUAGUAGACAUUUUUGUUUUAUAUAACUGUGAAGACGUCAUUUGUUAUCCUAUUUUUGUUGCCUUCAUAAAGAAAUACUGCGUGACUCUA